CCAUGUUGUUUUAACUCCCUAUUAAAUCAUUUUAUUUUAAAUACACAAACAGAAAUGAAGUUGAAAAUAGCACAGGAGCCCACUAUCACUGUGUGAACAUUUUGUGAAUGAAGACAUGUAUGAAAGGAUGUUUGGAGGCUUCAAGAAACGAAAGCCGAGAGUCUAGCUAGACCAGAGCCAUCCAGCCCAGGAGCGAUGGCCACGUGUGGCCGCUGGACACGAGAGACGUGGCCAGUCCAAACUGUGCAGUGCGGGGCAGUGGAAGCCGUUGGAGGGCCUCAGGCAGGAACACAAGGUGUCGUGGCAGAAAGGAAGAAGGGGCCGGGCACGGUGGCCCACACCCGUCAUCCCAGCACUUUGGGAGGGAGGCCAAGGCAGGAGGAUCGCUUCAAUCCAGGAGUUCAAGAUCAGCCUGGGCAACACAGCAAGACCCCGUCUCUACUAAAACCCUAAAACUUAGCCAGGCUUGGUGGCAUGUGCCUAAGGUCCCAGGUCCUCGGGAG
rnacentral:lncRNA from 1 species